GUAGGUGAACCUGCGGAAGGAUCAUUAAUAACGUAUCCACGUUUUAAAUUUCCAACCUCAAACCAAACCGUGAACUCUUUAUUUACACCCUUUUUUUAAACCUAAAACAACUUGUAACUUGCAACUUGUCUGAAACUUUGGGUAGUGAUUUUAACUUCGGUUAUCUCCACUUCCAUUGCUUAAUUGCAUAAAACUUAUUAAACAACUCUUAGCAACGGAUAUCUUGGUUCUC
rnacentral:misc_RNA from 1 species